GAAACUGGUUAGUACUCCACAUGCGUGUUUUGUAUGGGUGCUCGGCCGUAAAGCUGUACAGCGCGGGUAAAUCCUGUUUUUGAAGUGAGAGCAUGUGCUUCUGGGGAGCCAUUGCUUAUUGGACAUCCAGCUGCUUUGCAUUUGUUUAUGAUGGAGUUUACGUGCCUGUUAUUAAAGAGGUGUACUGAGCUGUGAUCUCUGGCUGCAGCAUUCCUUGAAAAGUCCCCUUCCUGAAGGAACAGUCGUGUCCAUAGCUGCCAGGAGCCUUCUUGCACCUGCUGCUGCGAUGCCAGUAUUGUAGAGUCCAACCUGGAGUGCCGUGUUUGGAGUAGCAGUGCGUCACCCAGGCCCCUUUUGAGAUGACUUUUCGGCAUCCGUUUUUGUCUCACUGUUCAAGCUACAUUAUCAACCUGAUACCAAAAUGAUGAGUCUAGACCUGUGUUCUUGGCGUUGCC